AUGCACAAAUGGAAAAGUCACAAAGAGAUCUUCUAUUUCCUGUUUUGGUGUAUUCCAAUGUACCAUGGCUGCUCCACCAUACAAAUAAGAUUGAGGGAGAGUGA